rnacentral:rRNA from 1 species
UACAGGGGGUGCAAACGUUGCUCGGAAUUACUGGGCGUAAAGGGCGCGUAGGCGGUCAGCACAAGUCAGUUGUGAAAUCUCCGGGCUUAACCCGGAGCGGUCAAGUGAUACUGUCGUGCUAGAGUGCGGAAGGGGCUACUGGAAUUCUCGGUGUAGCGGUGAAAUGCGUAGAUAUCAGGAGGAACACCAAUGGCGAAGGCAGCUCGCUGGGGACGGU